UGAGUAGUCGGUGCUGCGUCUCUCACUCAACAGUGGCAGCGUUCGGGUUUCCAGAUCCCAGCACGCACUCGGUGGGGCCACGUGCUCGCGACUCGCUCUGUCUGCGCGGUGCUCACAGCGGGGGAAACCCAAACUCGUCGAUUGGUUAUUUAGUGGACCACAUCAGUGGUGGUCGCGAGCUGGUGGGUCGCUGAUUGCUACAAGUAUAUGAUCGUCAGCAGAAGCGGAAUCAUCAGUGGCGGCAGCAACAGCGGCGACGGCGGUCAUCAUCAUCAUUAUCAUCAUACGUGUCAUCAUCAGCAUCACCGGCAAAAGCAUCACCGAUAGCAUUGCCACUUUGACAUGACCAUUAGCAUCAGCUGUGACGCUACCAGCAACGCGAUGACGAAUUAGCAGCAUUAUCAUCAUCAGCAGCAGCCCCAAUAUUAUCGACAGCAGCAGCAGCAACAUUUUCACCAAUAUUAUCAUCAACAGUAUCAUCAUCAUCAUCCUCAUUAGCAGCAGUAACGCUCAUCAUAGCUGACGAAUGUUAGCUAUCGACAUCAUUAGCACAAUCGGUCGUCUUUGGAGUCAUCUUGAAUAUUCCGCACGCCAGCUUAACUGAAGCGAGCCCAAAUAGCAUCGAGCCAAAAUAUACACUCGGAUGUAUAACUAAUUUAAUUCGAGUAAUCGGCAACGUGUCCCUUGACACAUUCCACACGUGUCAUCAUCACCACCAUCAUCGCCGCGUUCUCCGCUUCUCCAUAUUUGCACCCCAGUCCUAUCGUGACCAUCUCUCACCUCCAACUCCUCACCAUCCCAAGCCAUCAGCAUCAUCAUCAUCAUCCCAUUUAAUUCGCCCUGCGUCUUCAUCAUCAUCAUCCCAUCGCUAUCGCGUCCAAUGUUUCAUCUCUCUGGGACGUGAGUGGAUGAGUGUCGAGGGACAAGUAUCGCUACACGUGCCAGCCAGACAGACGGACAGACACGAGGUCUCAUCCGAUGCUGCAGUAGCAGCAGUAGCAACAGCAGCAGCAGGAACGCAGGACCCAGUUUUGCUUUCAUUUCCGCCUCGAGUAUUGAAUGUUGCGCGCUCCCGGGAGUCGCCUCUUGCGAAUUUCCAUCGCCACCCACUGGGCUGGAUAUUACCUCUGGCGCAAACAUUGCAGGAGUGCGGCUACUGCUAGUGUCGUUCUGCUGUGUCUGGGUGCACGGUGCUGGCCACUGCAAUCACUCCCUCGUGAGAUACUUCACCAGCCAGAGCCACAUGAUCCCCAAAAACCUGUCGAUGACGCUGCCAACCAAAGUCUUAAUCAAUGAGGCCUACCGGAAGACUUGUAUCGAGGAAAACCAGGCUAACUAUCUGCAGGCUCUGGGCGGGCUGCUGUGCACCAUCGAGAGCUUGGCGGGGAAGGGCGGCUGGACUCCCCCGCAAAUAUUUACCAGGCUGAGGGCCGACAUACUGGGGGAAUGCCCAGCCCCAGUUAGGGCGCAGAUUCAGACGAUACUGAAACGUAAAGAUUUCAUCAAGGCCAUUCGCAGCUGCUUGAGCAUGUACGUGAGCUUUUGCAGCUCCCAGGUCGACUCAGACUGAAGUGGGAGUUACGCCUCGUACGACUCAGACUGGAAUUGAGUGACUGCAAAAGACCUCCCCUAGGUCGACUCAGCCAAAAAUGGAUAGCUUGCACCGCAGGGUCGACUCGCGAGCCACAUGGAGCAGCUUCGACGUCGAUCCGGACUCAAAUUCAACGAAGGAACACGUCUAGGUCGCCUCGGACAGAAAUGAGGGACCAAUAAAGACUUCUGCGAGGUCAACCGAUUGAAUUGACCGCCGAAUGAAUGCCUCUCCUAGGCCGACUCGGCCAUAAAAUGAACACUCAAGGGAGGAGUUAUCUGUCAACUUAGUCUGGAAUGUGGAACCGGAGAAGGCCUCCACUAGGUGGGCUCAAACUGAAACAUGGAGCACCCCCCUCGUGAUGGCUCAGCCUGAAAUGAGCAGCCACAGACGACGAUGUUUUUUGUCGUUGUUUUUAAAAUGACGGUUGCUGAGCCUCAAAACGCCGAGCGGCCAGCGACGAACAGCACCCCCUGAGGGCGGCGAGAUGUCUGCCGGCUUUGCCUUCGGGCUGAAGUGAUCCCCUCGGUGUGUGUGCGGGACACGCUGAGGUCUACUCGGCCUGAAACGGGGGACCGAUUAAGGCCCACCUCUGUUUGAAGUCGGCUCGGCAAAAAAAAAUGUGGCGAGGCGAAAUGGAUAUACCCAUGUAUAUAUGUUGAACUUCUUUCGCGCCGUAUGUGUAGCCAACCGUGAUAAUCGGAGGUGCGUGGGAAGGACAACAAACUGAACACCAAAAGCAGUUCCAAAAAAAUGAGUUCAUGGCUCAGUACCUCAGGACGGAACUACACAGAGGACUAUGUGCAAGUGCACUGUACAGUCAUCAUGAUUGACUUUUAAUGCACCGCCCGAGGGAAGACUUCUUAAUGAUUUCCCAGGAUAGUCGCAGCAGCAACACCUCUCUCAUCGAAAUAACAGAGCAAUUCUGUAAAAACCAGGGACACGUGGCAAACCUGCUCUUCUCUCCGUGUCUCUCUCGCCGCUCUGAAAUCCAUCGUAUUCCACGGUUCGUGACGACUCUAGCUCGCGAUUGUAUUCAGUAAUCGAUUAUUGUCAUCAUCGUAACACUGUGGCGAGUGGUAGCGGCCUCUAGUGGCUGUGCAGGGGUGACGUGAACCCACUGGGCGCUCGAGGAAAGAGUCGAGCCUCACGCCCGCCGUUCAGCGUAUCGCGCGACGCGUGGGCCUGGAGAAUUGACGACGACCCCAUGAAUCGAUGACGAGAUAUGUCGUCAAAACCACGUCAAGUUUGCAACAUCGCACAACCUCGUUACUACCGACGAAGAGGAGGAGGUUAUUAUGGUUUAGUACCGAUGGUCGUGAAUUUAGUUUUUUUUUACAUUAUCUGCGCUCGCUUGCACAUCUCAGCAAACUGGAAGCAUCUUUAGCAUCCACAUCUCAUCCCUCGACACGAUCAAAUGGGCACCCCCAGCGGCAGUUUUCCUGCAUGGCACGGGGUGCCUUGGCACUGGAGCCUGAAGGUGGGCAUUCGUCUCCCAGCUUGGAUGGGGGAGGGGGGGGGCUACUGUGGACUUUCCGCAAUAGAAUAAAAAAUAAUUCAUUUGGCAAAAAAUUGGACUAUGGCGGCGCCGUCACACGUUAGCAAACUCCAAUGAUGCCACGCGAUCUUUAAUAUCCGCUGUGAGUGAAGCAGAUAACGGUGUAUGGUGUUUUUUUUCAAGGCUAAUACACCCGCAGCGUUAACCAGGGCUGACUACUGGAGUCCAACCGUGAAUCUCUGCAACAAGCGGUGGACGCACUGCCGUUGGGCCGUGUCACAUAUAUUAACCAGGUGAUAGACCUGUCCCGUUUCUCCAAACAUUUAAAUACUCUUAAUUUCCACGAAGUUUUGUAUUUAUUUUUACAGGACAAUGUAUACUUAUGUAUCUUGAACUUCUUUCGCACCGUACAUAGCCAACCGUGCUAAUCGGAGGUGUGUGGGAGGACAGCAAACUAAACACAAAAAGCAGUUCUAAAUAAAUUAAUUUUCAAUCUAGCUGAUUUAAAAGUAGUAUGUCAGGUGUUGGAGCGGUGGCAGAGCGGUUGGCGCACUGCGCUACGAACUCAGUGAACCUGAGUUCGAUUCCCAGCCGCGGUCAACAUCAUUGACGUAAAGAAGCAGCAGGGCUCUGAUAUCCGGAAUCGAUCAUGGGCCUCCGUUUACAUCCACCUUCCCCAAUCUGCACUGACCAGAGUGGUGAAGUAUAGUCAAACAAUCCCCAUGAGCUACGCAACGUAGGGAGGUCUUCAUUCAGCAAAGGGCCACUCAUGUCUAGUUACUAAGUGCACAGUGAUACUCGGGAAUAGCAUUCCAGAGAGGCAAAGAGGAAGCGGAACAAAGGCACUCUGCUCAGGAAGGGGCACAAAGGGAAGAAGGAAAUAACCGGGCCAAGAUGUCGGGGAUGAGACGGUGGUGGUGAUGAUGAUGAUGAGAGGGUAGAGAGGGAGAAGAGAGAAGGAAGGAGCGGAUCAGAAGUGAGCUGCGCGCAGGAGCGGCGUCUGUUUUCACAGGGGGCAGGGAGAGGGGAGGGACUCCGAGUGGGCGUGUCCACGCACAAGUCACGUGAUUUAUGGGAUGCCAGAUAUAUAUGCACAGUAUAUGUUUUAAUCCAACGGGCCCAGCGGCAUCGGUUUAAAGCGAGCAAAACUGUGGGCCGGGGUUGGGCCUUGUUCGGCAAAAUGCCGCUUGGCUGCCAGAUAUUAUUUGAAAAAAAGCACUCCACAAUAACCAUGGGUCCAUUUUCAAUGCAAAGAGUAAUGCCGUAUUGUAAAAAAAAAGUUGCAAAGUGUCAUGGAGCAUUAUGGGGCGGGGUAAAUGCAAAGAGAAGUGGAAUUCGGUGCUCUGACUCUGCGAACCUCCUCUACUACCAGGCCAUGAUUGAAUUAACACCGUAAAACGAGAGUUGCCAAUGAAGAGAUUAUAAAGGUGAGCUCCGGUAUUUAUUCGUGUGAUAAAGGAAUAAAUACUUCGCUCUGUGUUGUUUAAAAUAUCCGAGGUGUCAUCAUAAACCUUUCCCGACUACGAGGUAAGAUGUUGCAUUCAAGAUAAUGAUUCGGUGACGGCUGAGAGAGGCGCACAACCAAACAAAAACAGAACGAUUUGGCCAAGGCCCUUGUUCUCAUCACACGCAAAGGAUUUGCCAUGAAGCAGGAUUAUAGAGAGCGAGAGGAAACUCGCUGUAUGGGAUGGGCUAGUGGUUGAGUGGGCGUGGCUAUAUAAAAGUGGGCGUGAAGGAGGGAGGAAGGGGAGGGGGCUGCCAGCUGCAUCGCCACGUGUCCCGGUUGAGCCUCGCGGAUUAUUUUGGUCGCCGGAAUGCGAAUGCAAUAAACGGUCAUGGAUGAUCAUAUUUACACACGGUGGUUUAACCGCACGGUGAUUAACGUCUUGUUGAAAACAAGCCAACACGAAAAGGAAUCGCUGAGUCGUGGGGAGAGCUGGCGCAGUGGUUAGCGCACUCCACUAUGAAUCCUUGGCGGCCCGAGUUCGACAUCCUGGACUGCCAUAUACCCACCUACCCACUCCACUAAAAUACCUCCACUGACCAGCGUGGUGAAGUAUGGUCAAACAGCCCUCCCGUGAUCGACACACGGCGGUUUUUGGGGUGAAGAGGAAAGCCUUCAUCCAGCAGUGGAUUGACAGCACGGGAUGUAAAUUGUAAAUGAAAUUUUUUUUUCUGAAGACAAAUAAUCAGACCGUGGGGAAUUAUGGUGUACAUGAUCAAAAUCCGUUGUACAUUCUUUCUACAUUGUAUAUAUAUUUUUUAAAUAAAGGUGUUAACAUGGUGAAUGCGUGC